UACGGAGGGCGCAAGCGUUGUUCGGAAUCACUGGGCGUAAAGCGCGUGUAGGCGGCUUGGUAAGUCGGGUGUGAAAGCCCGGGGCCUAACCCCGGAGCUGCACUCGAAACUGCCUCGCUAGAGUCUCGGAGAGGGUGGUGGAAUUCCCGGUGUAGAGGUGAAAUUCGUAGAUAUCGGGAGGAACACCAGCGGCGAAGGCGGCCACCUGGACGAUGACUGACGCUGAGACGCGACAGCGUGGGUAGCUAACAGG
rnacentral:rRNA from 1 species